UUUGAGCCGCGUGUCUUGUGAU
rnacentral:misc_RNA from 1 species